rnacentral:rRNA from 1 species
CAGUCGCCGCGGGAAUACGUAGGGUGCGAGCGUUAAUCGGAAUUACUGGGCGUAAAGCGUGCGCAGGCGGUUUUGUAAGACAGGCGUGAAAUCCCCGGGCUCAACCUGGGAAUGGCGCUUGUGACUGCAAAGCUAGAGUGCGGCAGAGGGGGAUGGAAUUCCGCGUGUAGCAGUGAAAUGCGUAGAUAUGCGGAGGAACACCGAUGGCGAAGGCAAUCCCCUGGGCCUGCACUGACGCUCAUGCACGAAAGCGUGGGGAGCAAACAGGAUUAGAUACCCCGGUAGUCCCUGUCUCUUAUAC